rnacentral:rRNA from 1 species
UCCGUGCCAGCAGCCGCGGUAAUACGGGGGAUGCGAGCGUUAUCCGGAUUCAUUGAGUUUAAAGGGUGCGUAGGCUGUGCGUCAAGUCGGGGGUGAAAUUCCGGUGCUCAACACCGGGGCUGCCCUUGAUACUGUCGCGCUGGAGUGCGGAUGCCGCCGGAGGAAUGAGUGGUGUAGCGGUGAAAUGCUUAGAUAUCACUCAGAACACCGAUUGCGAAGGCAUCUGGCGAAUCCGUAACUGACGCUGAGGCACGAAAGCGUGGGGAUAGAACAGGAUUAGAUACCCUGGUAUUCCACGCCGUAAACGAUGAUGGCUAACCGCCGGCGACACACUGUCGGUGGCCAAGCGAAAGCGAUAAGCCAUCCACCUGGGGAGUACGUCGGCAACGAUGCAACUCUAAUGAAUUGACGGA